CUUACGUCUAUUUUCACAAGCCGCUACGUAAAAUUAAUUCGCACGUUUUUCAAAGGUCUGAAGAUGACCUGGUUCAAUUUUUGUAAAAAUCGGAGCAACAUCCUAGGAGGAGUUCGAAAAAGUAAAAGUGAAUCCCAAUUCGCUUUACUUGUGCGCUAUUCUGUGACAUUUUUAAAUAUAGCACAAAUGGAUUGUUCACAUUGAAAAUUCCAAAAAGAAAAAGUACACUUUAAAUACCUGGAUGAUGCACUAAAUUAACGGAAAAAAACAAAGUGUGGAAUGUUGGACACUUCAUGCACUCACUGUCGCAGCUUUAAUUACGUAGCGGAGGGGGAGAAGGUAUCAGACUCCGAUGUUAAAUGACAAAAUAACCUUAUACAAUUCGUGCACUACAUGGAUGAAUACAUAGUACAUAGUAUAUAAGUGCAUAGUGUAUAGUGCGUCAUUUGGGAUGCAACUUCAAAAUAACGGGAAAAGUUAGCCCAUUUAUGGUUAAAAAUUAUUAGCACAAAUAUAAGUGCAGGUUUGGACAGUUGGUGGCGCUAGAGGGAUUGAGUAAGAGACUCUAAAUUUGCCAUGGUGACAGUUCAGACUGGCCACUGUAAGUGUGCCAAAUUUUAUAACUUUCCCGCAAGCAGUUCUAUGGGCUGCCAUAGACUUCCAGAGCAGAAGAGGAAAAAGAACGCUAACAGAUACAAUAGGUGCCUAUAUACGCACCUUCAGUGCUUGACCCCUAAAUAUACAGUGUAUAUAGUGCACUACUAUUCUAUUCUAUUCAAUCCUGUUUGCUGUGUUUGAGUCUGCAGCUGUCACAGAGACUCUCAGGACAUCUGUUCGAGUGAUAUCUGUCAGCUCUCGUGCAUGUUUGUGGUUUCGGCAGUGACCUCGUGACCCCUGGCGUGACCUGUCUGCUCCACUGUGUGUUUCCACGAUCACUCACCUGGAAGUGAACGCAGCCGUCGGCAGCAGAGAGGGACGGUGCUCAGGUCAAACACUCUGCUUUUACAGGCUAAUUGACACAAACAUGCUCUUUCGGACAGGACCAGUUCUCACUGAGGAUGUUUUAGACACUCUUUGUGAGUGUCUGAAUCGAACAGCUCUGCAAAACGUACAAACUCGCAGCAGAGGACUGACUUUUGAUGUGAUCCGCGGAACCAGAGCUUGGGUUCAGGGAAACAUUUGUCUGCAAUCGUUUCCGGAUCUGAAAGUAAAAGCUAACUUUUAAUGAACUGAUUUGGCGCUCAAAACAGGCCGGGUGUUCAGAUUUGAUCCUGUGAAACACAAAUGCCAAACAACUGGAGCUUUUCCAGCAUGAUUCACAUGAUAUCCUUGUUUAAUCGAAUGCUUUUAGAAAAUGUUUGAUAAAUAUUUAUAUUCCCAUAGUGUACCUUAAACAUUUAAGGACCAAAAUGAUUCAAUUAAUCUCACUGCAUUUGCAUGGGUAAAAUUUUCAUCACACCAAGCGAGUCUGUGGGGAAAAAAUGCAAAGAAAAUCACUAAAAAAUUCUUUGGGAAAUUUUUGGUUAUUUUGUGUUUUAUUACAGUUUUAUCAAAGCUAUAAGCCCCAAGAAACGUGGUUUACAUUGAAUUUAUAACAGCUAAGGAGCAUGAUGUGGAGCUGUAAAUUUUUAUGCUUUUAUAAAACAGUUACUACACAAUACAAAAAAUUAAAUUAAGCAAGUGACUAAUGCUUUGACUAGCGCUGUCAUUGUCAGCAGGGCACAGGAAAACCCAUUAAAUGUUAAAAGGACAAGAUCACAGUGGACAUUCAAAUGGGUUGUUUAUUAUGAACAUAGGACUGACCUGAAGGAAAAUGCUAAAGUGGGUCCCCUGUUAAAAAUCGCGUUCCAGAGUGUAAAAUCUUCAGUUUUUGGCUGGGUUCCCCUGGUAAAAUUUGCAUUCCAGGAACUAAAUAUCAUGUUAUUUGGGUUCGUUUCAACCCGACAUGAAAAACAACAAGCGGCAACAGUGUAAAA